GACAGAGGGUGCAAACGUUGUUCGGAAUUACUGGGCGUAAAGCGCGCGCAGGCGGCAUGGUAAGUAAGGUGUGAAAUCCAUCUGCUCAACGGGUGGGGUGCAUUUUAGACUGCCAAGCUUGAGGUCGGUAGAGGGGGGUAGAAUUGCUGGUGUAGCGGUGAAAUGCGUAGAGAUCAGCAGGAAUACCCGUGGCGAAGGCGGCCCCCUGGGCCGUACCUGACGCUGAGGCGCGAAGGCUAGGGGAGCGAACGGG
rnacentral:rRNA from 1 species